CAGGCUUAACACAUGCAAGUCGAGGGGCAUCAGGAAGAAAGCUUGCUUUCUUUGCUGGCGACCGGCGCACGGGUGAGUAACACGUAUCCAACCUGCCCUUUACUCGGGGAUAGCCUUUCGAGAGAAAGAUUAAUACCCGAUAGCAUAAUGAUUCCGCAUGGUUUCAUUAUUAAAGGAUUCCGGUAAAGGAUGGGGAUGCGUUCCAUUAGGUUGUUGGUGAGGUAACGGCCCACCAAGCCUUCGAUGGAUAGGGGUUCUGAGAGGAAGGUCCCCCACAUUGGAACUGAGACACGGUCCAAACUCCUACGGGAGGCAGCAGUGAGGAAUAUUGGUCAAUGGGCGCUAGCCUGAACCAGCCAAGUAGCGUGAAGGAUGACGGCUCUAUGGGUCGUAAACUUCUUUUAUAUAAGAAUAAAGUGCAGUAUGUAUACUGUUUUGUAUGUAUUAUAUGAAUAAGGAUCGGCUAACUCCGUGCCAGCAGCCGCGGUAAUACGGAGGAUCCGAGCGUUAUCCGGAUUUAUUGGGUUUAAAGGGAGCGUAGGUGGACUGGUAAGUCAGUUGUGAAAGUUUGCGGCUCAACCGUAAAAUUGCAGUUGAUACUGUCAGUCUUGAGUACAGUAGAGGUGGGCGGAAUUCGUGGUGUAGCGGUGAAAUGCUUAGAUAUCACGAAGAACUCCGAUUGCGAAGGCAGCUCACUGGACUGCAACUGACACUGAUGCUCGAAAGUGUGGGUAUCAAACAGGAUUAGAUACCCUGGUAGUCCACACAGUAAACGAUGAAUACUCGCUGUUUGCGAUAUACAGUAAGCGGCCAAGCGAAAGCAUUAAGUAUUCCACCUGGGGAGUACGCCGGCAACGGUGAAACUCAAAGGAAUUGACGGGGGCCCGCACAAGCGGAGGAACAUGUGGUUUAAUUCGAUGAUACGCGAGGAACCUUACCCGGGCUUAAAUUGCAGUGGAAUGAUGUGGAAACAUGUCAGUGAGCAAUCACCGCUGUGAAGGUGCUGCAUGGUUGUCGUCAGCUCGUGCCGUGAGGUGUCGGCUUAAGUGCCAUAACGAGCGCAACCCUUAUCUUUAGUUACUAACAGGUUAUGCUGAGGACUCUAGAGAGACUGCCGUCGUAAGAUGUGAGGAAGGUGGGGAUGACGUCAAAUCAGCACGGCCCUUACGUCCGGGGCUACACACGUGUUACAAUGGGGGGUACAGAAGGCAGCUAGCGGGUGACCGUAUGCUAAUCCCAAAAUCCUCUCUCAGUUCGGAUCGAAGUCUGCAACCCGACUUCGUGAAGCUGGAUUCGCUAGUAAUCGCGCAUCAGCCACGGCGCGGUGAAUACGUUCCCGGGCCUUGUACACACCGCCCGUCAAGCCAUGGGAGCCGGGGGUACCUGAAGUACGUAACCGCAAGGAUCGUCCUAGGGUAAAACUGGUGACUGGGGCUAAGUCAUAAC
rnacentral:rRNA from 1 species